AGAGGGGGCAAGCGUUAUUCGGAAUUAUUGGGCGUAAAGGGCGCGUAGGCGGCUUUUUAAGUCAGAUGUGUAAUCCCCGAGCUCAACUUGGGAACUGCAUCUGAGACUGGAAGGCUAGAGUGCUGGAGAGGGUGGUGGAAUUCCUCGUGUAGCGGUGAAAUGCGUAGAGAUGAGGAGGAACACCAGUGGCGAAGGCGGCCACCUGGACAGUAACUGACGCUGAGGCGCGAAAGUGUGGGUAGCAAACAGGAUUAGAUACCCUGGUAGUCCACACUGUAAACGAUGAACACUUGGUGUGUCGGGAGUUGACCCCCGACGUGCCGGAGCUAACGCGUUAAGUGUUCCGCCUGGGGAGUACGGUCGCAAGGCUG
rnacentral:rRNA from 1 species